UGUGUCCCGCGAAUAUGCGCACACCACUCUAAUAAUGCAUUCAAUUGGAAGGGCACUUCUUGAAAGAAAUAGGAACAAUAUAGAUUUAAUUUUUUUAAUAUGAUUUUUAAAGCAUUCUUUGAGAAGAUAUAACUGCCAACCAAUUAAUUAUUUUAAGCAUAAAAUUGUUUAUAAAAAAAAAAUAUUCAGAGAUUAUGAAAAUGUGUAACAAUAUCAAUUCUAAUUUUAUUAAACGUUUUGAACAAAGAACUGAUGUUAUAUUGUAAAAUUUGAAAUUAUCACACAUACAUGUAACAAAGAUAAAUCUAAAGGAGACUGUUCAUCAUUAUAAUCAUUGAAUUAAAUGGUCUUGAAAUAUUAGAUCUGAUACACAUAGCUAUGACCUAAGAAAUAGAGUGUUUAAUCAGUAAUUUGAACAUAAGUUUUUCAACUGAUAAAAACAUUAUAAGCAUGAACUGUUUUGUAAUUCUGUCACAAAUAUUUAUAUGUAUUCUCUGAUUUAGUUAAAAGUUUAUGAGAUCACUUUCCAAAUUUCAUGUAGACUUAAUUUAUCUCUGCUUACCCUUUUGUUCAAAGGCCUGGUUUUUUUACUGGUUAGGUCAGUUGGAUAUCUGAGCACUUGCUACUGUGUACUGCUAACUUUAUGAAGAUAUUAUGGAAAGUUUUUCCAAGCUUUGUGACAAUUAGGUAUAGAAAUGGAAUGUUUUUUUUUAAAGAUUCACACAUUCAUAUAUAUAUAAAUUCAGAGUGUUCAAACCUUGCCUUGAGUUUAUUUGGUGAUGUCAUAUGCUAUGAAGCCAUGUAUAACUUAAUAUACUAUUUUUAACCUGAAAUUUCGUGCCAUACAGAAACAUAUUUAUAAUCAUGGGCCCUUAUUUUACUGUUACUGUAGAGAUUUGGAAAUCCUUAGAAUUUUUUAUUUGUUUAAGACCUUGAAACACUAUUUGAAUUAAUGAAAAUUGCAAAACCCUGUAAGUUAUAUAAAAAAUAUUAUAUAGAAAUUGUUUAUUAUCAAAACAAGAAGCUCUUCUGAUGUCUGUUCCAGUAAAUAGUAUGUCCCACUAGGGAAUGCAGUUUUUUUUUAAUAUUGUGGGUGGUUGUAUUUGAAAUACCAAAAUACAAAGGGAAUUUUGUUCUAAUUUAUUUUAAUUUCCGUGGGUGGUGGGGGUUAAAAUAAAGUGUUGUCCCUUGUGGGACAUAGUAUUUUCUGGAACAGCCCUGAGUAUUUGUUUCUGUGUAGAAAUCUUUACAAUAAAAAGUCUGGGAAAUGUCUUCAAACUUUGAACUUGAUACCUUCAAAAUGUUAAACUGAUCUAGUUUGACAAUAAAUAAAAGGAGGGGUUAUUGAAAAACUUUAAAAUUUCUUUGAAAAUGUAUAUGAUCAAAAUUAUCAUUUAUUACUUACAAAGUAAAUACAUUAUAGCUUUAAGAUUGAAAUUUAUAUCAGUAUAACUGGUAACUAUAUUCAUACAAGAAAUUAUUUAAUUCUAGGGUUAUCUUUUUUUUUUUUAAAAACAAAAAAUAAAAAUGUUGUGUAAAGGCAAGUCCCUUACAAGGUGAUUAUUUCAUAGUAUUAUUAUUUUACCUUAAUGAUCAAGGUUGCUAAUAGGGAAAGUUAUGAAUUUACAAAGAACUGCAUAAGAGACAACAUAGAUGUGUUAGAAUGUUUGUCAUAUAUAUGAAAUGAAUAUAGGUUUUGUUUUUUCGUUCAGUUGUAAACUGGAUUUAGUUACUCAGCUUUAUAAGGUCUUUUGCAAAGUUGAUUCCUAUUAAACUAUUUUAGUAAUUAUUGUUCAAAUUUAUGUUGUAAAUUUUUAAGUUUCAACUUUGAUCAUUAGCAGAUUUCUUGUGCUAUUUAAUAUUUUUGAUAAUUCCUUAAAUCUUUUCUUAUGUGAUAGAUAUAUUCUAGUCCCAAAAAAAUAUAACAUGGAAACUGAAAAGAAUUAUCAAAAUUAUUCUUUAUAUCUGCAUAAGUUUUGUCUUGCCUGCUUAUUUUUUGCAUAGAGGUGCUUAUGUUUCUAUUAAUUCUUUGUAUAUUUCUUCAUUAUUAAGGCGGAAGAAGUUUUGGGUAAUCAAUAUUUGGUAGACAGAUGACACAUAGGGUUUGAGGUUAAUAUCUGGCUUAUAUCUGUUGUUCUUUAUCUUAUUGCAUGGUCAAAUUACCCUAACCCUAAUGCUUCAUUAUUAAGUCAGGUAGAAAUUCUUGGUAAUCAGUAUUUGGUCUAGACAAAUGACACAUGGGGUUUGAGGUUUACAUCUGGCUUAUAUCUAGAUCUGUUGUUCUGUACUGUAUUUCCAUGGUCAAAUUACAACUAAAUUAACUCAAAAUUUCCCACCAUUAUAAUGUUGAAUAGGACGACUUUAUGAAGUUAAUAUGUUUAUUGUAAGGUUCACAUUUGUCAAAAAGGGUUUCGUGGUUCAGUGAUCAAAGUUAAGUUUUCUUGAUUAAAUCUGUUUCUCAGAGACUUAAUCCAAAUGAAGUACACCACUAAUUCAUGGCCCAAUUGCUUUCUAUGUUAAAUUCCUCAAUUUCAAGCAGAUACACCUCUUUUGUUUUAAGUUCAAAUAAAGUAACAAUCAUUGCAUGUCAAAGCAACACUUUAUGGUGUCUUGUGCUGACAAAAUCAGCAUACCUUUAAUGGCAUAUAAGAAAGAACUGGUUCACGGAACUUCAGAUGUACCAAAACAGGUACUUCAGAUCUGACUAACAGGCAAAAUGUACCCUCUUUUUAAAAUUUGGUGCAGUUUUUUCAAUAUUUAAAAUUAUAAACAUUGUAACUUGAAAAUGCUAGCAUUAUGAAUGUUUUGAUUAUCUUGAAUUUUGAUACAUUACCAAUAAUAAUUUUCAUUCAUUCCAUGCCUGAUCAUUUUAAUACAUGAAAUACAUUGUUUGUUGUUGUUAAUUUCUUUUUUUUAAUUAAAAGGAUGUGAACUUAUAGUUAAUUUUUAAUCUUAUAAAGGGCCAGUGUCAGAUUUUGCCAUCACCUGUUAACUUUUACAAAAGUUUCUCCGAAACUUCUUGGCCAAAUUUGCAAGUUAAACCAAAUCAUCCUUGAGCGAUCUAGUUUUUGUCGAGCCUUCGACUUUAGUCACAGAAAGCUUGACAUAGGGAUAGUGAUCUGGCAGCAGCUGAGUUAGUUAGCUUCGUAUAAGCUUUAUAUUUUAGAAGAUGGAAGACCUUGAUGCUUCAUACUGUAUAUAAGGGCCUUAUGUUACAAAGUUUUUGUCUGUCAUAUGACCAUUGUCCUUGACCUCAUUUUCAUUGUUCAGUUACUACUUGAAAAAAAAGGUUAAGAUUUUUUGAAUUGUUAAUUUCUCUCUUAUGAGUAAUAGGAUAUGGGUAUUCAUUAUUAUUCGUUGGAUACCAAUUUUCGUGGCUUUCAUGGGUACAGGUGAACCAUGAAAUUAAAUGAUCAAGGAAUAACAAAUUCUCUUUCAGAUUGUAUACAGAAAAUAAAUAUCCA
rnacentral:lncRNA from 1 species